GACAGAGGGGGCAAGCGUUGCUCGGAAUCACUGGGCGUAAAGGGCGCGUAGGCGGGAUGGCAAGUCGGUCGUGAAAUCUCUCGGCUCAACCGAGAAACGUCGGCCGAUACUGCCGUUCUUGAGGGAUGCAGAGGAGACUGGAAUUCCCGGUGUAGCGGUGAAAUGUGUAGAGAUCGGGAGGAACGACCGGUGGCGAAGGCGGGUCUCUGGGCAUUUCCUGGACGCUGAGGCGCGAAAGCGUGGGGAGCAAACGGG
rnacentral:rRNA from 1 species